rnacentral:misc_RNA from 1 species
GUUGGAUUUCCUGUUGCUUGAGAAGGUUUCCAUUGCUCUGCAGCCAUUUGCCUCUAGAACUUUUAGAGACAGGGGAAGUUCAGGCAAAGCUCUCAGGCUCUUGCAAUAGCUCAAGUAAAUUGAACGCAGCUGAGAUACUUUAUGGAUACUGCUUGGAAGGCUCACAAGCUUUUUACACUCAUCAAGCUUCAACUCUUUAAGGCAAUUCAGGUGCUCAAUGGAUGAAGGUAACUCUUGUAUUGCUGUUCCACUUAGAUGAAGAUGUUCCAAAGAUUUCAAAUUGUAGAUGCUGUCUGGAAGCCUCUUGAGAUUUUCACAG